rfam:Schistosoma curassoni strain Dakar, Senegal genome assembly, scaffold: SCTD_scaffold0003278
AUCCAGCUAACGAGUCCCAGAUAGAACGAAAUGCGCGUUCUGGAA